rnacentral:rRNA from 1 species
UACGUAGGGGGCAAGCGUUUGUCCGGAUUUAUUGGGCGUAAAGAGCGUGUAGGCGGUUAUACAGGUCCGCUGUGAAAACUGGAGGCUUAACCUCCAGACGUCGGGUGGAAACCGUAUGACUAGAGUCCGGAAGAGGAGAGUGGAAUUCCUGGUGUAGCGGUGAAAUGCGCAGAUAUCAGGAAGAACACCCGUGGCGAAGGCGGGGUCUCUGGGGCAGUAAACUGACUGAGGAGCGAAAA